rnacentral:rRNA from 1 species
UACGAAGGGGACUAGCGUUGUUCGGAAUCACUGGGCGUAAAGCGCACGUAGGCGGAUAUGUCAGUCAGGGGUGAAAUCCCGGGGCUUAACCUCGGAACUGCCUUUGAUACAGCAUAUCUUGAGUCCGAUAGAGGUGGGUGGAAUUCCUAGUGUAGAGGUGAAAAUUCGUAGAUAUUAGGAAGAACACCGGUGGCGAAGGCGGCCCACUGGAUCGGUACUGACGCUGAGGUGCGAAAGCGUGGGGAGCAAACAGG